AAGUUGGCAAAACGGAUCCGUAACCUUGGGAUAAGGAUGGGCUCUGAGGACUGAGCCGGUCGGGCUGGGGACCUGAAGCAGGAAUGGCACUGCACCGGGACUGGGCGGGGCUCGCCGUUCACGCGGCGCGGCAAAGCCCGGACCAGCGUCGGGACCUUCCUGUGGAAAGCCUCAGCUGCGCGGCGUCCGAGGGCUUCGUGCCCAAAGUGCUAUGCUUCGGCCGGCAAAAAAAACAGUCAACUCAGAACUGGCACGGACCGGGGGAAUCCGACUGUCUAAUUAAAACAAAGCAUUGCGAUGGCUGCUGGUCGGUGUUGACGCAAUGUGAUUUCUGCCCAGUGCUCUGAAUGUCAAUGUGAAGAGAUUCAUCAAAGCGCGGGUAAACGGCGGGAGUAACUAUGACUCUCUUGUGUAAUGAAAUAGGAACGACCGUUCCACACAAUUGCGGUCGAGCUUCUCUG
rnacentral:rRNA from 1 species